GAUGAACUGCUAGAUAAUUUUGGUAACAUCAACAAAUGUCAUAUGGACUACUAUUUCUUCCUACUAGCAGCCAUACAGUGUGUAACGCUAAUUAUUUUUAUUGUGGUAUCUGUGACAUUUGAUCAUCACAAAACCAAAUCUGGUAAACUAUUCAUCAAUGGAAGAAGGUAAAGUGAAGAACUGAAGCAUAAUCAGACAAGGAAAUAAAAAUGAGCCAGUACUUGAGACAUGCAAUUAUGAUGAAAAUACUUGUAACUCCUUUCUUCAACAAGUAAUGGAUUGGCUAGUAGUAUUCCUUGGCUCACCACCUGCAAACUGAAUCUUUUAGGUUGCCUGAAAGAUGGUUGAGGUUCAACAUGUGGGACACUACAAGUAAUUUCAGAGUUUACUGGCAGAUAAUGAGGUUGUUCAAGUAUUAUUUUCUUCACUUUGUCAAGGCAAUAUUUCUUUUAUAUCUACUUCUGUUCUUCAUUGCCUCUGAAAGAAAUAUUCAUGACUUUCUGAUGUAUUGUAAACUUUUAAUAUUAAGUGAAAAGAUCCAUUUGUUGAACCUAAAGUCAUUUUUAGUGUAAGUAAACAUUGAGUAUUUUAAUGAACUAGGUAAUUUUUUAAUGUUAUUUUUGUUAGCUCAGUGUUAAUCAAGUUCUAUGUUUUAUUAAUUUUAUCUUUUUAUGAAUAUAAAGGUCAAUGCCCUUUUAAGCACAUCCGUAAAACAGCUGAAAAUAUAAUUGCAUCAUUAGCAAUUCUGUAAAUCAUGUUUACAACCAGAAGACUGGGGGGAAUCUAUCUUGCCAAUAGCCAGAUGACUAAUAAAUAGAUAUGUUACAAAAAUUAAAGCUAUAUAGUAAAUGACAUCUGAUCUUGCAAAAUGCAUAUAGUAGAGAUUUGCACAUUCUGGCCAGUUUACAACUUAACUGCUGUUUUUAUGACUAAUUUGAAUUCUCUAAACUUUUUCCCUUUUCUAACGAUAGCAAUUGAGCCAUCUGGCUGUUCGGCAACAGUAUUUUUUCGUUUUUUUAACUGACCGGGAAAGGCAUUUAUGAUUGGGAGCUGAAUCUUUCAAAGGAUUGUUUUGAAUACGCUGUAAAAUUAUGUAUUACCAAAUAAAUGUAACUUGUUUUAAAUGUAAAA